AUUGCUUCUCGGUCUUUUGGCUAAGAUCAAGUGUAAUAUCUGUUCUUAUCAAAGAUGAAGGUUUGAACAGUUGUAAUAAUCACAGUGGUUCUUUGUUCUAGACUAACCAUAUGCCAA
rnacentral:snRNA from 1 species